rnacentral:rRNA from 1 species
ACGGGAGGCAGCAGUGGGGAAUAUUGCACAAUGGGGGAAACCCUGAUGCAGCGACGCUGCGUGAGUGAAGAAGUAUUUCGGUAUGUAAAGCUCUAUCAGCAGGGAAGAAAAUGACGGUACCUGACUAAGAAGCCCCGGCUAACUACGUGCCAGCAGCCGCGGUAAUACGUAGGGGGCAAGCGUUAUCCGGAUUUACUGGGUGUAAGGGGAGCGUAGACGGCUUUGCAAGUCUGAAGUGAAAGCUCGGGCUCAACUCCGGAACUGCUUUGGAAACUGUAGAGCUAGAGUGCAGGAGAGGUAAGUGGAAUUCCUAGUGUAGCGGUGAAAUGCGUAGAUAUUAGGAGGAACACCAGUGGCGAAGGCGGCUUACUGGACUGUAACUGACGUUGAGGCUCGAAAGCGUGGGGAGCAAACAGGAUUAGAUACCCUGGUA